GAUCCUGAAACAACGAAAUGCACAUAAUGUAGUCAGAAUUUGUUAGGUAAAGAGAAUGCAUUUUUGUUUUACUUUAUUAAUUUUGUGUUGCUUUAAAUGAUAAUUUUGUAAUGGAAAAAGAAAGAAGGAAGAGUUGUCAUUUCAGAGUUUGGGGAUGAUGGUGUUGAUAGUGGGAAGACUCUACUUGGUGGGAUACACAAUUCAGGAUCAUAUCUCAUUUUGUGUCUCAUAUACUUGUCUUGAAUGGGACAAGAAGAGAACAUCUUUUUCCUUUUCAUUUAUUAUUCUUCAGCUAUUUCUUCUCAUUUAUGGACAUGUGGGCUCAUCAUUGCUUUCAAUGUUUUCUAAUUUCCAAUUAAUACAAAUUUCAAACUUCAUACUUCAUACAUAUGCCAAACCAUUAAAUGACAAAAUGUUUUCUGUUCCUCUGUUUCCUUCCGAUAUGUUUGUAUAUGUAGUAAUAUAAUAAUCUCUCCCAUUAUGUCAC
rnacentral:lncRNA from 1 species